rnacentral:rRNA from 1 species
UACAGAGGUCUCAAGCGUUGUUCGGAAUCACUGGGCGUAAAGGGUGCGUAGGCCGCACGGUAAGUCAGAGGUGAAAUCCCGGAGCUCAACUUCGGAAUUGCCUCCGAUACUGCCGUGCUUGAGGACUGGAGAGGAGAUUGGAAUUCACAGUGGAGCAGUGAAAUGCGUAGAUAUUGUGAGGAACACUAGUGGCGAAGGCGAAUCUCUGGACAGUUCCUGACGCUGAGGCACGAAGGCCAGGGGAGCAAAACGGGG